rnacentral:rRNA from 1 species
AGUGAACGCUGGCGGUAGGCCUAACACAUGCAAGUCGAACGGCAGCACAGUAAGAGCUUGCUCUUACGGGUGGCGAGUGGCGGACGGGUGAGGAAUACAUCGGAAUCUACUUUUUCGUGGGGGAUAACGUAGGGAAACUUACGCUAAUACCGCAUACGACCUACGGGUGAAAGCAGGGGAUCUUCGGACCUUGCGCGAUUGAAUGAGCGGAUGUCGGAUUAGCUAGUUGGCGGGGUAAAGGCCCACCAAGGCGACGAUCCGUAGCUGGUCUGAGAGGAUGAUCGGCCACACUGGAGCUGGGACACGGUCCAGACUCCUACGGGAGGCAGCAGUGGGGAAUAUUGGACAAUGGGCGCAAGCCUGAUCCAGCCAGACCGCGUGGGUGGAGAAGGCCUUCGGGUUGUAAAGCCCUUUUGUUGGGAAAGAAAAGCAGCAGGUUAAUACCCCGCUGUUCUGACGGUACCCAAAGAAUAAGCACCGGCUAACUUCGUG